rnacentral:rRNA from 1 species
CACGUAGGGGGCAAGCGUUGUCCGGAUUUAUUGGGCGUAAAGAGCUCGUAGGCGGCUUGGUAAGUCAGGUGUGAAACCCCCGGGCUCAACCCGGGGACGCCACCUGAUACUGCUAUGGCUUGAGUCCGGUAGGGGAGCGUGGAAUUCCUGGUGUAGCGGUGAAAUGCGCAGAUAUCAGGAGGAACACCAGCGGCGAAGGCGGCGCUCUGGGCCGGAACUGACGCUGAGGAGCGAAAGCGUGGGGAGCAAACAG